rnacentral:misc_RNA from 1 species
CAAAAACUUUCUUUAAACUAGUAGAAAAAAGUUCAUUAUAUAGGCUAUACUAAAAAGAUAAAGAGUGUCAAAUAUUUCAAUAUUGAAGAAUUUUAUUCAGUAAACUGGCCUCUUUUCUCAUCUAUAUUUGCUAUUUCAACUAAAAGAGUAACUGACUUUUGCAAUUAUUAACGAUAAAAGGAUAUUCUAAAAUUACAUUUUUGGUCAUUUAAUAACUUGAUUAUGUAAGCUGUAUUAUAAAAUGUUACUUUCUCUUUUAAAUCGUUAAUAACCAUUUCUUAGUUUUCAAGGAUCUGUAUAUCACAGUUUACAUGAUGGAUUUUUGUAAUAAAGUGGUUCACAUUGAAUCUGUUGCAAAGUCUGAAAGGCGUUUAAUAUAUGAUGACGGGUCAAAUAAGAUUUACUGCAAUAGUGUAGAAUUGGGGAGAGUUUUAGAAGAGCCUAGUUGCUUGUGGAAGAUUGUCAAUGUAGAGAAUGAAAAAUAUUUGCUGGAGAAUAUUGAAUAUGAGGGAUGCUAUCUAAAGAACUCUUUUGCUGGAAAGGGAGAAUCAACGCUAACCCUGGUAAAAAAUAUCCAACAGGCAACUUAUUGGACUAUUAAAAGAGUUUCAGAUAAUCGUCACGAACCGUCUUUUUACAUAAACAUGUUUAAUUCAAUGUACUCUUUAUGCAGCACCUCUAGAGCAUGCGUAAAAAGAAUUAACAAUUCAAAUUCUGAUAUGACAUUUCACCAGUGGAAAAUUCGUAUCAUUCGUGUUUCAUGCGAUUGGGUAGUUGUUUCAGAACAGAGAAACGAGACGAGAGAUUUAUUAAGGAUAGACGAGGAGUUAACAUAUAGUGUUAAAAAUACACGGUGUCCGAAAAAAAGAGCAAAUUUCAUGGAAAAGCGUACAAUUUGCAAACUCCUCUCAAAAUUGACGGAAAUAGCAGACCAUUGCGCAUAUUUUAAAAGAGAAUUAGGAUUUUCUAUUACAUCAUCAGACAUAUGGCUUGAAGAGAGUUCUUCCAAAGCGAAGAUAAUUUUACAUGCAAACGAAGAACUUAAAAUACGACAAAUAAGAGCAAUCUGUGGAAAUUAUGUAAUUAAAGCACCAACUGUUCAAUUUAUAACAAAAAAAUUUGAAACUGAUACCAUUAUGCGUGAUGUUUGAUUACUCUAAUACAUGCUAUUCUACACUUUAGUAUAUUUGUACCAUUUACAGCUUUAACAAUUGAUUUGAUAUUCAAUUUACUUAACAGAUGAAAUUUUAUUUUUAUAAUUGCUAUUAAAAGAAACAAAACUACAAGAUAUCGACAAAGAGAUAACCAAUUUUCUCAAUAUAGAG